CUGGCGUCAGGAUGAACGGCUGGCGGCGUGGCCCAACACAUGCAAGUCGAACGAAGCAUACGGACCGGAGAUUCGUCGAAGGACUGUAUGACUUAGUGGCGGACGGGUGAGUAAUGUAUGAGCAACCUGCCUUUCAGAGGGGGACAACAGUUGGAAGCGACUGCUAAUACCGCGUAAUGUAUCGUGGGGGCAUCCUCGUGAUACCAAAGGAGCAAUCCGCUGAAAGAUGGGCUCAUAUCUGAUUAGCUUGUUGGCGGGGUAACGGCCACCAAGGCGACGAUCAGUAGCCGGACUGAGAGGUUGAACGGCCACAUUGGGACUGAGAUACGGCCCAGACUCCUACGGGAGGCAGCAGUGGGGAAUAUUGGGCAAUGGGCGAAAGCCUGACCCAGCAACGCCGCGUGAAGGAAGAAGGUCUUCGGAUUGUAAACUUCUUUUAUGAGGGACGAAGGACGUGACGGUACCUCAUGAAUAAGCCACGGCUAACUACGUGCCAGCCGCCGC
rnacentral:rRNA from 1 species